rnacentral:rRNA from 1 species
UACGUAGGGUGCAGGCGUUAAUCGGAAUUACUGGGCGUAAAGCGUGCGCAGGCGGUCUUUUAAGUCAGAUGUGAAAUCCCCGGGCUUAACCCGGGAACUGCAUUUGUGACUGCAUCGCUGGAGUGCGGCAGAGGGGGAUGGAAUUCCGCGUGUAGCAGUGAAAUGCGUAGAUAUGCGGAGGAACACCGAUGGCGAAGGCAAUCCCCUGGGCCUGCACUGACGCUCAUGCACGAAAGCGUGGGGAGCAAACAGG